UGGAUCGGCCGAGAAUCGAACCCGGGCCGCCCACGUGGCAGGCGAGCAUUCUACCACUGAACCACCGAU
rnacentral:tRNA from 1 species